UCCUAGGACGUGGAUUUGGUACUAGAGCC
rnacentral:piRNA from 1 species